rnacentral:rRNA from 1 species
GACGAACGCUGGCGGCGUGCUUAACACAUGCAAGUCGAACGGCAACGCCCUGCCUUUGUGGUGUGCUCGAGUGGCGAACGGGUGAGUAACACGUGAGUAACCUGCCUUUGACGUUGGGUUGACUUCCGGAAACUGGGUCAAUUACCCGUUAGGAGCUCCUGCUGCAUGGUGGGGGUUGGAAAGCUUGGGCGGUAGGGGAUGGAUUUGCGGGUUAUCGGCUUGUUGGUGGUGUAGUGGCAUCCGAAGGCUUUGCCGGGUAGCCGACCUGAGAGGGUGAACGGCGACAAGGGGACUGCGGGACGGAGCAGACUCCAAUGGUAGGCAGCAGGGGGGAGUCUUGCACAAUAAUGGGAAGCCUGAUACAGCAACGCUGCGUGUGGGAUGACGGCCUUCGGGUUGUAAACCGCUUUCGCCUGUGACGAAGGGUGAGUGACGGUAAUGGGUGAAGAAGCACCGGCUAACUACGUG